UACGUAGGUGGCAAGCGUUGUCCGGAAUUAUUGGGCGUAAAGCGCGCGCAGGCGGCCUUUUAAGUCUGAUGUGAAAGCCCACGGCUCAACCGUGGAAGGUCAUUGGAAACUGAAAGGCUUGAGUACAGAAGAGGAAAGCGGAAUUCCACGUGUAGCGGUGAAAUGCGUAGAGAUGUGGAGGAACAUCAGUGGCGAAAGCGGCUUCCUGGUCCAGCACCGACGUUCAGGCACGAAAGCGUGGGGAGCAAACAGG
rnacentral:rRNA from 1 species